rnacentral:rRNA from 1 species
AACGAACGCUGGCGGCAGGCUUAACACAUGCAAGUCGAACGAUGUAGCAAUACAUAGUGGCGCACGGGUGAGUAACGCGUGGGAAUGUACCAUUUGGUGGGGAAUAACUUUGGGAAACUAAAGCUAAUACCGCAUACGCCCGAGAGGGGAAAGAUUUAUCGCCAAAUGAUCAGCCCGCGUGAGAUUAGGUAGUUGGUGGGGUAAUGGCCUACCAAGCCGACGAUCGGUAGCUGGUCUGAGAGGAUGACCAGCCACACUGGAACUGAGACACGGUCCAGACUCCUACGGGAGGCAGCAGUGGGGAAUAUUGGACAAUGGGGGGAAACCCUGAUCCAGCAAUGCCGCGUGGGUGAUGAAGGCCUUCGGUUGUAAGACCCUUUACGUCGGGGACGGAGUGAUGACGGUACCCGGCAGAAUAAAGCCCCGGCCUAACUUCGUGCCAGCAGCCGC